GGGUCCUCCAGAAACCAUGGUCGCCUGCUGAGGACUUUUAACCCCGAAGUUGCUGGAGCUGAUUGUUAUUGCUGUGCAUUACACUGUUUGGUUGUUGCUGUUGUAAUUUUUUUUUGGAAAAAAAGUUCUGAAAUAUGUCAUUCCCAGCUAAUCAUUCUUCUGAUACUGUGGUUUAUGAUGUAGUGGUUGUGGGAUCCUGUAUGACUGACUUGGUCAGUUUUACACCACGUUUACCGAAAGCAGGAGAAACCAUACAUGGGCACAAGUUUUUUAUUGGGUUUGGAGGAAAAGGGGCCAAUCAGUGUAUCCAGGCAGCACGGCUCGGAGCCAAAGCAGCAAUGGUUAGCAAGGUUGGGAAAGAUUCAUUUGGAGAUAAUUACAUCGAAAACUUCAAAAGUAAUGGCGUGUCUACAGAAUAUGUGGGUCAAACAGAUGAAGCAUCGACAGGAGUUGCCCCUAUUACGGUGAAUGAUGAAGGACAGAAUGCAAUCAUUAUAGUAGCUGGUGCAAACCUGCUAUUGAAUUCAGAAGAUUUGGAGAAAGCUUCCGAAGUAAUCCGUUGUGCAAAGGUGGUUGUCUGUCAGCUAGAAAUUCGAGCUGCCGUCACUUUAGAAGCUUUGAAAAUAGCUCACAAAUCUGGAGUGAAAACUAUCUUCAAUCCCGCACCAGCUGUUGCUGACCUUGAUCCUGAGUUUUACAAAGAGAGUGAUGUCUUCUGUUGCAACGAGACUGAGGCAGAGAUUCUAACAGGCAUUGGAGUGUGCAACGUUGAGGAUGCUGGAAGGGCAGGCUCCAUGCUGCUGGAGAAGGGCUGCGGUUCGGUGAUCAUCACUUUGGGAGCUGCGGGCAGUGUGCUAAUGUCACAGGACAAGCAGACUCCUCGUUAUAUUCCCGCAAAAAAAGUAAAGGCAGUGGAUACUACGGGUGCAGGUGACAGCUUUUUGGGCGCUCUGGCAUUCUACAUGGCUUGUUAUCCUUACAUGGAACUGGACGAAAUGAGCAGAAGGGCCUGUGACAUCGCUUCCAGAGUGGCAGGUGAAGAAGGCCACCUCCAGUGGCAGUGACAGCAACACCAAGAUGAGCCAGAUGCAACUCCACCCCAGCCCAGGGUCUCCCGGACUUGCAGGCUAGGCUGAAGCUCCAGAUCCACAGCUAGGCUGGGCGCUUGAAGGAGUGGAAGCAUCAGUGAAAGGGACAGACGGCGGAUUGGCGGCAGCGUGUGGAGGAGUGUCAGAUGGGGAACAGGAGGGAGGUAUGGAACCCACGCAUCCUCAGGCCCAUGGUACCAACUCAAACGCGGCGGUUGUGGCAGCGGCAGUGGCAGAGGCCCAUAACCGACACCCCAGAGCCCGUUACAGAGACCCAGCAGCGACUGGAGGAAGUACAAGAAGGAGAGAGUGUCAAGGAACAAAAAAUCCAAACACUCAAGGGUACUGAUGCCCCUCUGGAACCUUCUGCCCCUCCCCUUCCCUCCGACUCCAUCCCUUAAGCUAAUCCCCUUUUUUGCCCUGCAUUCUGACCUUUCCCUCUCUGAUGCUGAGCAAUCUGUGCUCAGCAAAGGACUUGGCUUUUAUUCCUUUGUAACCCCAACUCAAUUAAUUUUGGGCAGGAUGUGUCGCUGAACUCUUUUUCUGUUGGUACCAAGUCACUUCUAGCUAAAAGUCUUCACAGAGAAAACAUCCCUGACAGCCAAAUCAGCAGAAGAAAAGCGUUUAAUGACUUGAGAACAGCAGAAUAA